GUGAAUCAUCAAAUUUUUGAACGCAAAUUGCGCUUCCUGGCAUCCCGGGAAGUAUGCCUGUUUGAGGGUCAGUAUUAACAAAAAAUCGGUUUGGUUGCAAAUUGUGACGUUUCCGGAGUUUGGUCUACCUUAACUUUUUUGGUUAAGGGGCUUAAAAUUGACCUUAUUUGCGCAUUUUUAGACGUACAUAAAUUUUUUUUUUCUUCGUCUAUUCUAAAUCCCAAAACAUUAUAAUU
rnacentral:misc_RNA from 1 species